CAGCACCUCAAGUGGUCAGGAUGAUUAUUGGGCCUAAAGCAUCCGUAGCCGGCGCUGUAAGUUUUCGGUUAAAUCUGUACGCUCAACGUACAGGCUGCCCGGAAUACUGCAGCGCUAGGGAGUGGGAGAGGUAGACGGUACUCGGUAGGAAGGGGUAAAAUCCUUUGAUCUAUUGAUGACCACCUGUGGCGAAGGCGGUCUACCAGAACACGUCCGACGGUGAGGGAUGAAAGCUGGGGGAGCGAACCGGAUUAGAUACCCGAGUAGUCC
rnacentral:rRNA from 1 species